rnacentral:lncRNA from 1 species
GUUUGGUACAGUUGACUCUAAAUAUCAUUUUCACAGACAUUUUAGCACCGCUGGUCCUCCUUUGUUGUAUAGUAAAGUGCUUCUCUUCCAGCACCUUUGUGAAUAGGCUCCCUCAGCACGGGUCUCCAAUCUGCUGUGCCAGGGCACUGCAUCUCCCAAGGUCCAAGGAACUAUGAUAUCGAAUUUUUCUAGGGAUAUUUUACUUGUGAAAAUGCAAAGGAGAGACAGUAUGGGAAAAGAAGGAGGUAAUUAAAUUGGACUUUACGGAGCUACAGAAAUAUUAUUAUCUAUCAAUGGUGUGUGCCUGGGCACAGGUUCCUGGGUUAGCUUUCUGAAAGUCUUCUGUGGAGACAUUCACUUAGAGUUUGAAAAGGAAGAGAAAAGGCAUCUGAAAAUUGGAGAGAAUGUCAUUUUUGAAUAGCUUUUAUCUGUAGUCUGUAUGCUACUGAUUCUUCUGCUAUUAUACUGUAGAAAAAAAUGUCUCAAAGUGGAUGGCCUCUCUUCCUAGGACAGAAGUUGUAUGCCAUUGAGGAUUGUUCCCACUUCUCAGGAAGGGAAUGGGGAGAGGGGUGUGGAUGCAGGAAUCCCUGUCCCCUAAAUGCCAUCUGCUUAGCAAAGAGGGCAUUACAGAGGGUUAACAUCCAAUGUUAAGAACAGUUAGCUAUAAAGGACCUAAUUGUUAUGGUUCAUCUCAUUGUCUCAUACGUCUCUUUAUGUGUGUCUUUGUUCUUUGAGUCUAGACCUGUGCUGAUGGAAUAAUAUUUUACUCACUACUGUGGUUACCUACAUUAAAACUUACGAAUUCAAACUGUUAAGCACUUUCUUUGAAAAUCUCAAAUGAUUGCACACAUAGUUAAAACUGAUGGAUGCUGAGAAUCAUAAACCCAAUACAGAUAAUCAGUAAAAAAUGCAUUUUAUUCUAAUAUUCAAAUGUUCAAAUGCAAUAUCUACAACAGUUCAAGCUGCUAUUUUCCAUGGUCAUAUGUAUCACAUUAAGAAAGGAUUAUAUGGGCUAGAUUUC